rnacentral:lncRNA from 1 species
UUACCUAUGAUUCUCGUUCCAAUAAUUCUGCCUUUUCCGUUGUCUCCAAAUGUGACUUUCCCGCCAAGUUUAUAUUUGAUCUCAGUGAAUAGUGUCACAUCUCCUGUCAUGUGAUGAGAGCAUCCACUGUCCAGGUACCAUUCAUUUGUGAUACCCUGCAUAAACCUCAAACAUUAGAUGUUUAGGUACCCAGACUUGCUGGGGUACCUUGAUAUUUUCUGAUCUAAAUUUGUUUAUUAUAUCCUUUCUAAUCCACACUUGCCUGCUCGUAUUAUGUACCCUAGUCUGAGAUUUUUUUAUUUCAUGCUUAUUUUCUUGGUACUUCAAUUUAUGCACUGGACUCCAGUCUAUGCUUUUCUUAUGAUGCUCAGUUUUAAAUAGACUUGUUUUUCGAUCAUAAUGUUUGUUUUUCACAUUGACUUUUUCUUUGAUUAAGUUAGCCAGAAACAGUUGGUUCUCUGUUACCUGUAACUUUCUCUGUAGUCUAGCAUGCAUGCCAUAGUUCACAUCCUCUGCUACUAUAUCUAUAGACUUACAAUCAUUAACUUGUUUAGUGAGACUAUGAUGAUGUGAGUCUUUUAGUGUGUCUACUUCAUUAACAAGUUCUUUGUUCCAGUUUAUAACUGCUUUUAAGUCCUCUUUCAUACUUUUAUAUUUACCCUUAAGUAUCUUGAAAUCAUGUUGGACUUUAAUAUACUUUCUAAUCAGUUCAGCUAUGUCCUGACUACAGUAGUUCGAUAGAGAUACCUGAGAUGUUGAGUCCUUAGUUCCUGACGAGUCUCCUUCUUCUAGUGCCAUCA